CGUCCCUGGCUCUCACAAAGCCCAGCAAAGGCCCUGGGGUGGAUCAUAGGGGAGCAGCAGGGCUCAGCCCUUGUUCCAGCAAACCCCAGGGAAGGCAAAGGCUUGGCAGUUCACAGCCUCCUGUCUCUCUUGGCUGCCCCCCCAGAUCUUCUCAACUGCCUUCUCUUCUCUAGUCCUGUGCCCACCCCAUAGAUUUUGCUCCCCUUUUCCCUUGCAUUGCAGAAUGAACCCUGAGAAAAAGACCUGGGAGAGAAGAGGCAUGGAAUUCCUGGGAGGAGCUGUUGCUACGGUUGCUGUAGAGCUGUUCAUAGGGGCCAUAAUAAAGAUGUGGAGCCAAGCAGAAAAGACAGAGAAGGGAAAUACCUCAAAGGCUCAGGGAUGCGGGACGGAGGAGACCCUUCAGCAGCUCUGCAAAGAAAUGAAAGCUAUGCGUGAAGAUCUCCAAAAGGGCAGGAGUCCACUAAGUGUGAUAUUCUGCUGUUUAGAGCAGACCUGAACAAGGAACA